ensembl:lncRNA
GUGAGUGUGUGUCUACGGUGGCGCUCUGCUGUCUGAAUCUUCCCUGGAUGUUCUCAUGCAAUCAUCUACACUUUAAUGUUCUUCCCAGGCCUACGAUGUAAAUCUGCUGUUCUGAUAUCAGUUCUUCUGCAGCUUCUCUGGCGCUGACAUGAGCGACUACUGGUUCAACGUGAUCUCCAAAACCUGUUCGUAAAAAUGUAUACGAAAAUCUUGAACAUACAAAUUCGUAACAAUACAUACGAACUGGCGGUGGUUAACCACGCCCCUUGAGUGAACAACAUGGCGGACCAUGUUGGAUUCUUGAGUGAACGUCUCUCCGCCAUGUUGGAUUUUUUGAGGGGGUUAGGGUUAGUAUUCUAUUCUUACAAUUUAACAUAAAAAUGCAAUCAUAACACGUUUAUUUUACAUCGUUAGACUUCACGAGGUGUGUUUACGGUGUGCAGGUCCCCAUUCACUUUGAAUAGGGUGACAUCAUCAGUUGCAGUCCGUAUUUAUUUAGUAUGUAUCACUACGAAUUUGUAUGUUCAAGAUUUUCGUAUAGAUUCUUGCGAACAGGUUUUGGAGAUCAGGCUGACUGGUUGAUGAUUUUCUUCAAUCUCUUCGUCACCUCCAUACUGCCAAUCAUAUUCGGGGUUAUGAACAAGGAUGUUUCUGCAGAGUGUUCUGAACUGAACUAUACAGGACAGGGAGCAGGGCUCAGUCACAAGCUAUGAGUGUUUAUAGAGUUGAGUCUAUGUAAAAUGAGUCUUUUGCCAAGUUGCUGUUCUGUCAUGGUGUGUCAUUCUCGCCUAAAGUUUGACCACAUGUGUUUUCUCCCGUCCAGGCUAACCAUGAUUCAGACAUUGGUGUUUUUUCCUUUGAACACAAUUUCCCUAUUUACUGUUGCAUUUUUCGAUAGAGAUCAAAGCCUGAGUGCUGACCUGAUGGAUAUCUAUUUCUAGAUAUAAUCACGGCGUAUACUCCCAGUGAGCCAAUCGUGAGGCAUCAUUCAAAAGCAUGGUCGGGUUUGCAUUUUAUACUAACAUGAGGAGAACAACAGCUAAAUAUUUGAAUCUCCCACAAUGUGUUUCUGCAACAUUAUAUACAUUAAUCCAGUGUAUAUUAAUGCAAUAAAAAAAAAAAAAACAGACAGUUUACGACGGACGGGAUAGUUUGCUAUCAGAUAUUGCAACUUUAAAAGACAAAAAAGAGUUUUAAAGCAGCCUACAGGUGUGGUGCUAACCUGCAGUCAGGAGAAUGUUGAACGCUUCCUCAUUACACGAAGUAGGAUAAAGAAAAUAUGCAUCUUCGGAUCUUAUGGCUCGAUAUAUCAGAAAGGUCAGAAACCAUUAUUGUUAUCUCUUAUUCCACUCCUGUUUGAAACAAAUAGACCUCAUGAUGACAUUAGUGUUAUUUGCGAGUUUGUGUUCGUUCAGAUCUCAAUUAACACCAAAGGUUGUCGCCUAAACAGUCUCGGUAGAUUUGUAAUUAAUUCAUGUGAUUUCCAGUCCAGGAAUGAUCUGCACCACAGCUCGGUCCUUCCUCCUGGUUUGCCGAUGCGUCUGAAAGUGCUCAUAUUUAGAGGGAAUGCUCUGAUUUACAUCAAAGAGACGCAUAUUUUUCACUGGCCUACUUUCUCACCACCACACUCUCUCCCCCAGGUACACGUUUCAUGUACUGAAGAACUCUAUCGCCCCCUUCCCGCUUGUGCAAGCCGGGCCGGACCCCUCCACCCGAGACGAGUGGUGGAGGAAGUGGAGGGGCUUCACCAGGUCAAACACCCACCCUGGACACCCCAACGGACGUCCGUCCCCCAGUCGGAUGUCAUGCAGAAAAUGGCAACUAUUUUUCAUGAUUGGAUACCCUUUCUCUUGGACUUGUGACAAAUCAUCGAUUGGGGUGGUGAGUGUGUACGCCCUCUCCUCGUUAUCCGCUUCAUGACAAGCCGCCAUAGUGAACACAUAAGCCUGUUACUUUCCUGAUGGGUUUUCAGAGCACAGUGGUAACCCACUUAGUCAUGCCACCCACCCCUCCAAAACGUGGCACUUUUCCAGAACAAAAUGCUUAGCUGGUUUAAUGAAUUCUUCUCAACUCGAU